GGGGCCUUAGCUCAGUCGGUUAGAGCAUCGGACUCAUAAUCCGCCGGUCGUGGGUUCAAGCCCCACAGGCCCCA
rnacentral:tRNA from 2 species